rnacentral:rRNA from 1 species
UACAGAGGGUGCAAGCGUUGUUCGGAAUUAUUGGGCGUAAAGCGCGUGUAGGCGGUGAGGUAUGUCGGGUGUGAAAGCCCUCAGCUUAACUGAGGAAGUGCGCCCGAAACUACCUCGCUGGAGUGUCGGAGAGGAAGGCGGAAUUCCGGUGUAGAGGUGAAAUGCGUAGAUAUCGGGAGGAACACCAGAGGCGAAGGCGGGUUACUGGCUGGAUACUGACGCUGAUGCGCGAAGCCAGGGAGGCAAACGGG